AACUAUGAACCUUCCACCUACAUGAAGGGGAAGUGCUGCCAUGUUCUGGACUUUAAGUGGAUUAAUACCAUACCAUGGAUAAAACAAGAACAUUGGAAAAACAAGACCUCACCAUUCACAGAAAAAAAUCCUAAUUCAACAAGUUUUUCAUCAUUAAAAAAAAAGCCACUGAGGAUCUCAUCCCUAGCCAAGUGACAUUUUCUUCACUCUUUCAUUGGAUAAAAGGACAUCCAACUAAACUCUAGCAGCAACUCCAUUGGUAGAACUCACUGGCAUCUUAGGAGAACCCACGUGGGCUGAAUGGAUGCUAAUUUAUGCAUAUUUACAGACAACUAACUCCACAACUCCUAUGUGCUACACCGCUUUGUGAGUUCAAAGUUAACCUUCCAACAACAACAGGAGAAGAAUUUUAAUCGAAAAAGAUAAUGCCAGUGGUUGGCAGACGGGCUUUUUUUGGGGGGCUGUUCUAUUAAGAAAUCACUGGAAUGGCUUUGUAGCAAUUGUAACAGAUUCUUAUUUAAAUGAGAUUUUUUUUUUUAAUAAAGGGAAAAUCAUCCGAGUUUG
rnacentral:lncRNA from 1 species